CCCCGCCAAGCAGCUGGGCAGGGCAGGUGCCGGGGCACCCCCUCGGAAGGGCAGAGGUGCCGUAUUGAGCAUCUUCUCCUGAGGGCCCGCUGCGUGCCACGUGUUGGGCAUGUCCUGCCUUAACUCAUGGAAUCUCACAACCUCCACUCAAGGUGGCUCAUCUUGUUCUCAAGGUCAUGGGCCGACUAGGAAGAGGGGCUCUUGGCGCCAGGUCCUCGGAUUCCCAGCUCGCCCGUGAUGGCUGCACUUUUCCGCAAGCUCGGGCGUGUCUGUGGUCUUGGGUCUCAGUUUCCCCAUCGGUACCCUGAGGACCAGGUACCCCUGAGGGUUGCUUUACCCAGAUGGUCUGUGGUUGCCUGACUCUCUGAGUCCCCCUCUUCAGUGGGCUGGGGUGGAGGCGGGGGGGAAGCACAGGGACUGCUUCUAGCUUUGCCCUAAAUAAUGGGGAUCACCCUCCUUGUCCUCCUCACCCUCACCCUCUGGGUAGAGGCCGCUCCUGCCUGGUUGCCUGGGGCUCUGUCCCCGGCUCGGGCCUCUCCCUGCCCCCUCACUGCCAAGGGGCACUCUUGCUCGCCACCUGGGACCUGCCUUCCGCAGGCGGGCCUGGAGGCUCACCGUGUAACUCAGAGUCCUCCCCGUGCCCACACGACUGGGCCCCGGCUUACCCUCUGACGUCUCCCCCACUCCCAGUGCUCCCAGCACCCCUCGCAUCGAGACAACCCUUGUGGCUCCCGUGUCACUGACGGCGACUCGGACGGCCAUGACUGACCACACUCCCAGAUUUCCGUGGCUUGGUGGGUCAGCUGGUGUCUUGCUCACAUCCUCCUGGCUCACGCGGUGACUCGGGGACCCAGGAGACUUCCAUUUGGUGGCUCAGCCAUCCCUAGUGUGCUGGGGUCCUCUGCGCUCCAUUGGCCCGUGGGGGUAGAGACCUGACGGAGCAUGAGGCAGGUUUCUGGCCCAGGCCCACGGGUGGCACAUACCACCCCCUUGCACCCCAUCUACGGGAACCUAGUCCUGUGGCCACAUCGGACUUUAAGGGAGGCUGGGAGACAUAGCUCAGGUGGGUCUCAGGAUGAUGCGGAAGUGCGUUUGCUGAACAGCUCGUCAGCCCCUGCCGUGGCCUCCAGAGACUUCUGCUUUACCUUCGGCAGGACUGAGGGCUGGGCAGGCAGACUUAGCACCCCGGUUUCACAGGCUUGGAGAGGCUGUCCUGCUUGCCCAAGGUCACAUAGUGACCCACUCACUAGUGGGUGGCAGGGACCAGGGCCUAUGAGCUCUCAGCGGGAAGCUGCCCAGCCCCCUCUCCCUGCCCCCAGGACCUCCCCAGACCGGGGCUCCCUUCAGGCUCUUCCCAGGCUCCACCCGUGUUAGAGGUGACCAAGAACCUGGCUGCCGCUUUCAGGUGGCAGCUUCUGUAGCCCAGGACUGUCUCUGUCCCUCUGUCGGCCUUGGUGUGUGGCGUGGGGCCGGCCACGGGCCUCUCACAGAGCACUGAGCAGGGACAGGUUGCUGAAAGGGAAGAAGGCGGAGAGAGCGAGCGGGAGGAAGGAAGAACCAGCGUGCGAACCGUGGGUGAACAGGUGGUGAGCGCACGGACGUGUCUCCGGCAGGGAUAAAUAGCUUCCCUCCCCAUGACCAGGUGAGCCUUUCAAGAGCAGGCAGCCCAUAUCACUGUGCUGCUGAAAUCCUUCUAGCAGCUUCCCUCUGCAGGCAGAGUAGAAUCCCAACCCUCCCCUCACCCAAUGCCACACCACUGGGCCCUCCCUGCCGGCCCUGCAGCCACAAGGGCCCGCCCUGACCCCUGGGAAGACUGGACACAGGCCUGUCUGGGCCCCGAGGCUGACCUGUGUGUGUUCCAUCAGCGGGUUCCCUAGUAGUCGGGCCUCUAGUUGGGUUUGUCCAAUGGGAGGCACCCCAGGAGAUCAUAAGGAGGGAGUAGAGCGGGUCAGGGCGUUUGCUCCCCCUGCUCUCCCCCUACAGGUGUCCUGGGCUGGCUGUGUCUCUUGACCAAAGGCUAUCACUUCUCUCAAGGAGACUGACUCUAAGUUCCAGCCACCAUCACCCCCUGCAGAAUGGUGACAGCUUUGCCGUCCCCGGUCCCUGGCUAUUGCUCUGUUCCUUAGGUUUCCCUGCAUCCUCUCCUUUUCCAUUACCUGCUCUGUAAAGAAACCCUACUUGACAUCUCCUGUUUUGUGUGCGCUACCUAUUUCCUGUGGUGAGGCUGACACACCGCCCAUCUCCAGGUCUCUGUCCUUGCUCUUCCCACUGCCUGCUAUAUACUCUUCCCUCUGGUCUUUACAUCAGCAAUAACUUUUCAACUUUAAGCUCUUUGCCUGACUGGCACCUCCUCAGAGAAGCUUUCCCAGAGAGGAGUCAGCUUUAGCCAAGGGGAGCCCCUCACUGGUGAGUCUCACUCCCUUGACCCUGAAUGAUUUCCUUCAUUGUACUUAUCCAGGUUUGAAACGUUUGUCUGGCUUUCCCCUCUGGCAUGGAAGCUCUGAGAGAGCAGGGGCUUUGUCUCCCUUGCUUGCUUCUGUGUCUCCUGAGCCUAGGACAGUGCCUUGCACCAAGUAGACACUUACUACAGAUGACCAUUGAAUUUAUAAAUAAGAUGGAUUUAAUGUUCGAAUUAGUGAGUAGCAUAAAUGAAUGGACGUGAUUAGCAAGUAUAUAAUAUGAAUUAAUUUAAAGGAGGCGUGGGUUUUGGCAAAUCUGUAACAAAUGAAUGACUGGGUGGAUGUGUGAGGGAAACAAGGAGUCAGUGAACAACUACAAGAACGGGUGUGUGGGCUUGUUUGAACAUUCAGUGGACAACACAGCUGUUUCUGUCUCCUUGGCACAACGGUGGCCUUUUGCACUUGAUCUUAGCCAAAAGGCCGAGAAGUUAUGAACAGGAACCCAGGAGGUGAGACAGCGUCCUUAGGGUGUGUGGGGGGGGGCGGGGGCUGGAAGAUCUGGGACGUGGGCAGAAUGCAGCACUGCCACAGACCCUAGCCUCUUGAUGGAGGUCAGCAAGGAUGGGCCUUCUGCCCCACAGGUUCUGAUUUUGGACCCUGGCUUCUCUGCCUCAAAGCAGCUUCUUUUCCCACCAGAGCCUUUUCUGUUGGAAAGUUCUCCUGGGAAGGGCACACCUAUCAGCCACCUACUCCUGAGUGCAGAUUCAUAAGAAUUGCUCACACAGCCAAAAAAAUCAUCACUGACCAGCUUCUCCGAGAAGUCGUUGUGCUGAGAAUGAUCUUUUCCCAUCCCUGAGCUCCUGUAGCCCUCACCUGGGGUGGAGAAAUGGCCAUUCCCUUUCUCAGCUGGACCCCAAGGCCAGAGAGAGGAGGUGCCUUGUCUGUGGUCGCACACAGAAUCAACAUCUGCCUCUCUCUGCUCUGGACAGGAUCCAUGUCUCACUGCUGUCCCUCGGUGCUUGCCCGAGGCCGGGAGCUUGGUGAGGGUGCAAGGCAGCCGCGUGGAGUUGAGCAUCACUUCUCUGAUCCAGAUGUCAGUGUGUGCUUGUGUGUGUGUGCGCGUGCGCGUCCUGAUGGGAACUGCAGAACCCUUCUGCUGCGGGUUGAAUUGCGUCCUCCUAAAAUUCAUAUAUUGAAGUCCUAACCUCUAGAACCUCAGAGUGUGGCCUUAUUCGGAGGUAGGGUCUUUACGGAGGUAACUAAGUUAAAAUGCAGUCGUUAGGGCGGGCCCUAAUCCAAUCUGACCGGGGUCCUUAUAACAAGGGGAAUUUGGGGACGAAGACUCACACCAUGUGAAUGAAGAUGAAGGCAGAGAUGGGGUGAUGUUUCCACAAGGCAAGGAAUGCCAAGGUUGCCGGUAAACCACCAGAAGCCAAGAGAGGGGCCUGGAACAGGUUCUCCCUCACAGCCAUCAGAAGGAGCCAACCGUGCCGGCACCUUGAUUUUGGGCUUCGAGACUCCAGAACCACGAGACAAUACAUUUCUGCUGUGUAAGCCACUCAGUUAGUGGUAUUCUCUUAUGGCAGCCUGGGGAACCUAAUAAACUCUUUCUGGUCUGCAGGCUUCUAGA